rnacentral:rRNA from 1 species
ACUCCUACGGGAGGCAGCAGUGGGGAAUAUUGCGCAAUGGGCGAAAGCCUGACGCAGCAACGCCGCGUGUGUGAUGAAGGCUCUCGGGUCGUAAAGCACUGUCAGAAGGGAAGAAAUAAAUGACGGUACCUUCAAAGGAAGCACCGGCUAACUCCGUGCCAGCAGCCGCGGUAAUACGGAGGGUGCAAGCGUUGUUCGGAAUCAUUGGGCGUAAAGCGCGCGCAGGCGGUUUGCCAAGUCUGAUGUGAAAGCCCGGGGCUCAACCUCGGAACUGCAUUGGAAACUGGUAGACUUGAGUAUGUGAGGGGUCAGUGGAAUUCCUGGUGUAGGGGUGAAAUCCGUAGAGAUCAGGAGGAACACCGGUGGCGAAGGCGACUGACUGGAACAUAACUGACGCUGAGGCGCGAAAGCGUGGGUAGCAAACAGGAUUAGAUACCCUGGUAGUC